rnacentral:rRNA from 1 species
UGCUCUCGCAUGGGGGUGGGUGGAAAGAUUUAUCGGUGCAGGAUGGGCCCGCGGCCUAUCAGCUUGUUGGUGGGGUAAUGGCCUACCAAGGCGACGACGGGUAGCCGACCUGAGAGGGUGACCGGCCACACUGGGACUGAGACACGGCCCAGACUCCUACGGGAGGCAGCAGUGGGGAAUAUUGCACAAUGGGCGAAAGCCUGAUGCAGCGACGCCGCGUGAGGGAUGAAGGCCUUCGGGUUGUAAACCUCUUUCAGCAGGGACGAAGCGCAAGUGACGGUACCUGCAGAAGAAGCACCGGCUAACUACGUGCCAGCAGCCGCGGUAAUACGUAGGGUGCGAGCGUUGUCCGGAAUUACUGGGCGUAAAGAGUUCGUAGGCGGUUUGUCGCGUCGUUUGUGAAAACCCGGGGCUCAACUUCGGGCU